rnacentral:tRNA from 1 species
GCCCAGGUGGCGGAAUUGGUAGACGCGCUAGCUUCAGGUGCUAGUUAUCGCAAGGUAGUGGAAGUUCGAGUCUUCUCCUGGGCACCA